rnacentral:rRNA from 1 species
GUGGGGAAUCUUGCGCAAUGGGCGAAAGCCUGACGCAGCCAUGCCGCGUGAAUGAUGAAGGUCUUAGGAUUGUAAAAUUCUUUCACCGGGGACGAUAAUGACGGUACCCGGAGAAGAAGCUCCGGCUAACUUCGUGCCAGCAGCCGCGGUAAUACGAAGGGGGCUAGCGUUGCUCGGAAUUACUGGGCGUAAAGGGCGCGUAGGCGGACAGUUUAGUCAGAGGUGAAAGCCCAGGGCUCAACCUUGGAAUUGCCUUUGAUACUGGCUGUCUUGAGUACGGGAGAGGUGAGUGGAACUCCGAGUGUAGAGGUGAAAUUCGUAGAUAUUCGGAAGAACACCAGUGGCGAAGGCGACUCACUGGCCCGUUACUGACGCUGAGGCGCGAAAGCGUGGGGAGCAAACAGGAUUAGAUACCCGGGUAGUCC